rnacentral:rRNA from 1 species
AGUGAACGCUGGCGGUAGGCCUAACACAUGCAAGUCGAACGGCAGCACAGUAAGAGCUUGCUCUUACGGGUGGCGAGUGGCGGACGGGUGAGGAAUACAUCGGAAUCUACUUUUUCGUGGGGGAUAACGUAGGGAAACUUACGCUAAUACCGCAUACGACCUACGGGUGAAAGCAGGGGAUCUUCGGACCUUGCGCGAUUGAAUGAGCCGAUGUCGGAUUAGCUAGUUGGCGGGGUAAAGGCCCACCAAGGCGACGACCGUAGCUGGUCUGAGAGGAUGAUCAGCCACACUGGAACUGAGACACGGUCCAGACUCCUACGGGAGGCAGCAGUGGGGAAUAUUGGACAAUGGGCGCAAGCCUGAUCCAGCCAUACCGCGUGGGUGAAGAAGGCCUUCGGGUUGUAAAGCCCUUUUGUUGGGAAAGAAAAGCAGCAGGUUAAUACCCCGCUGUUCUGACGGUACCCAAAGAAUAAGCACCGGCUAACUUCGUG